CCCUGAGCGGGCUCUCGCCUCUGGUGUCAAGCGCCCGGCACCCAGCGCUCCAGGGAGAGCAUCAGGUGGGGAGUUGACUUGGGCGUUACACCUGUCAAACUGUAACACAGAUGUCCUAAGGCGAGCUCAGGGAGGACAGAAACUUCACUUGGAGCAGAAGGGCAAAAGCUCGCUUUAUCUUGAUUUUCAGUAUGAAUACAGACCGUGAAAGCGGGGCCUCACGAUCCUCAUACUUUUUGGGUUUUAAGCAGGAGGUGUCAGAAAAGUUACCACAGGGAUUAACUGGCUUGUGGCAGCCAAGCGUUCAUAGCGACGUGGCUUUUUGAUCCUUCGAUGUCGGCUCUUCCUGUCAUUGUGAAGCAGAAUUCACCCAGCGUUGGAUUGUUCACCCACUAAGGGAACGUGAGCUGGGUUUAGACCGUCGUGAGACAGGUUAG
rnacentral:ncRNA from 1 species